AACGAAAAUUUAUUGAUGAACGUAGCGUUACAGAGCAAGCCACCUGUAUCAGCCGCGUUGCACUCGCCUGGGAAAAUACUAAUAUCAGUCCUGUGUCGACGGAUAGACACACCCGUCAAGGAUGAUGGGAAGGAAGGACAUCGCAGGACGCGAUUCAUCAGGAUGAUGAAAAGGAUUAAAGGGAUUAGGGAAAAAAUGUGGGCGGGUCAAACCGCCCCUUUUUUUUGCCUGCGAUUUCUUGAUCC
rnacentral:sRNA from 1 species